rnacentral:tRNA from 1 species
AGCGGGGUGGGGUAGCAAGAGAGGACAAUGAAGUCCCUCUUGCCGAACCAGGUUUAAUGAGUACUUGUAGUGAACAAGCCUCGAAUUCCCCGCAGGGCUCAUAACCCUGAGAUCGGUGGUUCAAAUCCACCCCCCGCUACCA